GAUGAACGCUGGCGGCGUGCUUAACACAUGCAAGUCGAACGGAAAGGCCCUGCUUUUGUGCGGUGCUCGAGUGGCGAACGGGUGAGUCACACGUGAGUAACUUGCCCUUGUCUUUCGGAUAACUUUAGGAAACUGGGGCUAAUUCCGAAUACACGCUACCGCUGCAUGGUGGGGGUUGGAAAGUUUAGGCGGUUGUGUAGGGUCUCCCGGCUUAUGAACUUGUUGGUGGGGGAGUGGCUUACCAAGGCAUUGACGGGUAGUCGGCCUUAGAGGGUGACCGGCCACAUGAGGACUGAGGUACGGCCCAGAGGAGUACGGGAGGCAGCAGUGGGGAGUAUUGCCCAAUGGGCGGAAGCCGGUUGCAGCAACGCCGCGUGCGGGAUGACGGCCUGCUGGUUGAAAACCGCUUUCGGCUGUAACGAAGCGUGAGUGACGGUAAUUGAUGAAGAAGCACCGGCUAACUACGUG
rnacentral:rRNA from 1 species